CACGGGAGUGUCGCAGAGUCAGGAGUCAGACCUGAGCCAACUCCCCGUGCUUACCGUAAGGAGACGAGGAUGGAACCAGAGCCCGUCGGGGUGGAAUUGGGAGGUGAGCGAAGCAGAGACAGUGAAGGAGUUGAUGGGGAGAUUGGAGGAGAGCGACAGAAGCAAGGCAGAGACAGUGAAGGAGUUGAUGGGGAGAUUGGAGGAGAGAGACGGAAGCGAGGCAGAGACAGUGAAGGAGUUGAUGGGGAGAUUGAAGGUGAGCGAAGGGAGCGAAGCAGAGAUAGUGAAGGAGUUAAUGGGGAGAUUGGAGGAGAGAGUAAUGAGGGAGUUGCUGUGUUGGUGCAUGAGGCACGACAUCCGCCCGACGGAGCGUGUCUGGGAUUUGAUGUCACCUGAGUCAGCUCUCCAUACUCGUCCUGAGGUGCGUGCUAGCCGUCUGGUGAAGACUGUGCCAGCCCCACGCACCAGGCCUUCUGUGCGCCUCCCUAGCCCUGCACGUCUUGUGCCAGCUUGGCGCUACAGAUCUCCAGUAUGCGUUCUUAGCCCAGUGCGCUACAUUCCAGCUCCCCGCAUCUGGUGGGCUAGUGUGAGGAUCCAGCCAGGACGGAUGGUGCCAGCCCUGCUCUCCAGACCUCCAGUGCGUCUCAUCGGGCCAGGAUAUCCUGCGCCGGCUCUAAGCACGGUUUCCCCAGUUCGCCAGGAGAUCCCAGUGCGGCCUGUUCCAGCUCCCCGCACGUGCCGAGCUAGAGUGGGCAUUCAGCCUGGAAGAGUGGUGCCAAGGCUACGCACCAGCUCUCCAGUGCUCCCAUACAGCCCGGUCUAUCCUGUGCCUCCUCCACAGACCAGGCCUCCAGUAGGUCUCCACAACCCGGUCUGUCCUGUGCCUCCUCCACGCACCAGGCCUCCAGUAGGUCUCCCCAGCCUGGUGAGUCCUGUGCCUGUUCCCAGAACCAGGUCUCCUGUCCGGCGCUGCCAGAGUCGCCCUCCUGUCCGGCACUGCCAGGGUCGCCCUCCUGUCCGGCGCUGCUAGGGUCGCCCUCCUGUCCGGCGCUGCCAGAGUCGCCCUCUUGUCCGGCGCUGCCAGGGUCGCCCUCCUGUCCGGCGCUGCCAGGGUCGCCCUCCUGUCCGGGGUCGCCAUCCUGUCCGGGGUCGCCCUCCUGUCCGGGGUCGCCCUCCUGUCCAGGGUCACCCUCCUGUCCGGGGUCGCCCUCCUGUCCGGUGCUGCCAGGAUCGCCCUCCUGUCCGGCGCUGCCAGGGUCGCCCUCCUGUCCGGCGCUGCCAGGGUCGCCCUCCUGUCCUGCACCCUUUGUGAGGGUCCCUCUCUAUGGCCACGGCGUGACGGUGCCUCCCCCCCAAAGAUCACUGAAACUCCACCUGAUGUGGUGGAAGCUGUCGAACCAGAUCGGACCGCCUUCGAGGACCACCAUCGAGGACCACCUUCGAGGUGGUCACCUUCAAGGACCACCUUCGAGGACCACCUUCAGGCACGGGCUUCAGGGCUGAGAAGGACGUGGAGGUUUUUGACCAGGUAAAACUGUCCGCUGUU
ensembl:lncRNA